AGGCAUCACCACCUACUUCCCCUCAGCAGUGGGUCCUUGGUGACCCUCUGGCUGGCAAAUGAUCCCAUCCUGAGGGCCUGCUUCCCAGGACCAUGUCUGGUAUUGUCUCAGGUUGGGGCCCCCAGAAGCCGACCCUGAGAAAAAGAUUUGAGAGCGCAUCAUUUAUUUAGGAGGUGACCCCAGGAAGCCCCUGCAGGGGACAGGUUCUUUCUGCCAUCAUGAAUGUGGCAGAAAGUUGUCAUGAUGCUACAGCAUUUCUCAAGCGUGGUUGUUUCAGGGGAAGAGACUCUGAGGCAGAGAGGAACAUGCAGGAGGUUGAUUAGAGACCGCUCUUGGGAUCAACACCGCUGGAAGAGAAUGCAAUGGAAGGAAGCAAGAUUGGGCAGAAGGAGAAGCUGAUCUGUGAUGCAAGCCCCGUGGGGAGCUCUGAAAAUGGAGGAUGACCAAAGAAUGGCCUUGGUGAUAGAUGAGAUGACCCAGCUGGAGGGUGUAGACAGAGAACGGUCCAGGACCAGUGCUCAGGAAGGUCCAGAUUUAAUGGCUGGGCAGAGGCAGAUGAGUGCACAAUGGAGACCAAGGAGACUCUUCCAGAGAAGUAGGAGGAAACCAAAGAGAUGCGGCCUCCCGGAAGUGACAAGACGAAAAUAUUAUAAGGAGGAGGAUGUGGCCAUGUGCUGGAAGAGGGAUAACAGCAGAUAAAUGAAGAUAAUCUGGACAGCGGUCUGCUUUUGGGGGAACUUAAGCCAACACAAGCUCGAUGGAGAGGACGAGGUUGAAAGUAAAGAAGAGAGAGGAUGCAAAAGAAGGAGCAGAUCCCCAGGGGGUCUAGGGGGGCCGUGUAAGCUGGCAGCCCUCAUGCGACGUUCCGGAGCCGGUGGCACAAGGGGGUCUACAGAGAGAAGAGAGCGGCUCUGCAGGGAAUGAGAAGGAGGAGAGUGGGGGACUCGGACUGAGCGUGGAGAACAGCCACUUGCAUUGCGGUCUCUCCAGUUUCCCAUUUCAAACUCUGGGUCAGCGUGGCAGUCCUUCCUGCCUGUGGGUUCCAUAUGACAUCUGUAAAAUGGGAUGGGAUGGUACCCACCUCCAAGGGUGACUGAAGAUGAGGAACAGCCCGUGUGGGUGCUCAAUAAAUGCUGGCUCUUACUCAGCCA
rnacentral:lncRNA from 1 species